rnacentral:lncRNA from 1 species
AAGUUGGGCACCAGAGUCGCCGCCAGGCUCACCGCCAGCACCAACGCCCAACGCAGCCACCAGCAGUACCUCUUGCCACACAGCCACCGCUCCGCGACCUCGAACACCGGGUUCAUCAUCACCGGGAACGUGAAGAAGAGGUUGAUGCAAAGGCCGAGCUGGAUGAGCAGCGUGAGCACGCCGGCGCCGAGGUUGGUGGUGAUGAUGUCCCUGGUGUCGUCGCCGAAGGCGGCGUAACCGAGCACGCCGAAGAGGCCGUAGAGGAGGGCGAUGAAGGCCAUGGACAGGCCGAGGGUGCGCCCGAACUUGGACUUGUCGGCAGCCUCGGCCUCGAGGGGGAGGACCAUGCCGAUGCCCUCGAAGGCGUAGACCGCGACGCCGGCGCCGUAGAGGAGGACGGACGGACCGGCGAAUGCGUGGAUGGGCGGGGGGCGGGAGACCAUGAUGGAGACGUCCUCGGCGAUGACGACGCCCAUGGCGCCGAGGUCAACCACGUCGGCGAAGAUGCUGAGCGGGGCGAGGAGGGUGAGGCUCCGGAUGGAGUUGAGGCCCAGCUGGAAGGGCAGCAUGGCCAGAACGUAGAGGGCUUUAGAGGAGAGGAAGGGGAGGGAGAGAGGGAGGAGGUGGGUGAGGGAGCUGGAGAUGAAGAUGAGGUAACCGACGCAGAACCCGGCCUGGCUAAGCACGAUCAUGGCAUCGACGGCCAGGCGGCCGAGGGAGCCGGAUACGGCGAGGCCGAGGUCGCCGAAGGAGGCGAUCUUGGCAGAUCCGUCAAGGUCGAGGCGGCGGCGGGUGCGGACGAUGAGCAUCAUGCAGUGGAAGGUGAGGGCGGCGACGGCGAGGAGGAGGAGGGCGCCGGCGGCCCACCCGGUGCGCCGGAACGCGUACGGGAGGCCCAGGACGCCGGAGCCCACGAUCGCGAUGAACACGUUCGCGAACGUCUUGGGCUGCGACGACAGCCGACCCCGGAGGUCGCCGCCGCCCACCGACGGAAGC